AUACUUACCUGGUAGGGGAGACACUGUGGUUACAAAGGUGGUUUUCCCAGGGUGGGGCUCAUCCAUUGCACUCCAGGUGUGCUGACCCCUGCAAUUUCCCCAAAUGCAGGAAACUCAACUGCAUAAUUUGUGGUAAAGGGGGACUGUGUUCAUGCUUUCCCCUG
rnacentral:snRNA from 1 species